rnacentral:rRNA from 1 species
AGUGGCAGACGGGUGAGUAACGCGUAGAUAAUGUGCCCUCUUGCGGGGGAUACCGUUUCAAAAGGAACGUUAAUACCGCAUAAUACGAUUUCGGGGCCUCUUGAGAUCGUCAAACUUCCGGGGCGGGAGGAGCAGUCUGCGUUCUAUCAGCUAGUUGGUGAGGUAAUGGCUCACCAAGGCUACGACGGAUAACUGGUCUGAGAGGAUGAUCAGUCACACUGGAACUGAGACACGGUCCAGACUCCUACGGGAGGCAGCAGUGAGGAAUAUUGCGCAAUGGGCGAAAGCCUGACGCAGCGACGCCGCGUGGAGGAAGAAGGCCUUCGGGUUGUAAACUCCUGUCAGUGGGGAAGAGAAUGGACGGUACCCACUGAGGAAACUUCGGCUAACUACGUGCCAGCAGCCGCGGUAAGACGUAGGGAGCGAGCGUUGUCCGGAAUUACUGGGCGUAAAGAGCUCGUAGGCGGGAGCGUAAGUCUAAGAGGAAAUCUCAAGGCUCAACUUUGGGGCUUUCUUAGA